rnacentral:rRNA from 1 species
GACGAACGCUGGCGGCGUGCCUAAUACAUUCAAGUCGAGCGGAUCGGCGGACGGGUGAGUAAUGCCUAGGAAUCUGCCUGGUAGUUGGGGAUAACGUCCGGAAACUGGCGCUAAUAACGCAUACUAUUAGAUGAACCUAGGGCGGAUUAGCUAGUUGGUGGGGUAAAGGCCUACCAAGGCGACGAUCCGUAACUGGUCUGAGAGUAUGAUCAGUCACACUGGAACUGGGACACGGUCCAGAGUCCUACGGGAGGCAGCAGUGGGGAAUAUUGGACAAGGGGCGAAAGCCUGAUCCAGCCAUGCCGCGUGUGUGAAGAAGGUCUUCGGAUUGUAAAGCACUUUAAGUUGGGAGGUGUUACCAACAGAAUAAGCACCGGCUAACUUCGUGCCAGCAGCCGCGGUAAUAC